UAAAACCUCUUGAAGGAAAUUCUGGUUCACAACUGAGCAAGAAAAAUGGGCUUCUCUUAUCCCACUGAAACCCCUUUGUUCCAGUUUCGACUCCUGUUAACCCCCACCCUAAAACUCACUGUUCAGAUUCUGUUCAACAACACACUUUGUGGUUGACCUCAUUGGGAUUAUUCUUGAACCUGCUUUCAAUCUCAAAUGGAGUAAGACCAGACGCAGAUCCUCCCUCAUUUCUUGUGCUCUUGAUGGUAGUAGCAAAUCCUACUAAUCUCGUGAAGGCCUGUCUACAAGCUGGAGGAAAACUGCCAGCUGUUGUGCCAAGGCGUUACUCUGAGGCAUUAUAUGCCUAUGCAACAAUAAUAGUGAGACAGGUAGAUGUUUCUGGUCGGUCUACAAGCUGAAGGAAAAAUGGAGAAUGAACCAGGCUAGUCUAAUGGGGGAAAUAUAUAGUGCAUCUAGUGAUGGGCUUCGAAAAGAAUGUGUUUGGUAUUGAUGGUAUGCGCUUUGAUGAUAAACUACCUGCAGACAACCUUUUUUACCUUCAGGCUGUUGAAUUCGGACAUGUGGUUCUUGAUAUACUUAAAUUUGCUGAUCCUAUUGCUCGUGGAUUAGCAGCUACAUCAAGAAAAGUUUUUCUUGCUUUCUAUUGAGAGUCAAGGACUCAAGGCUCUUCCUUCGUCUAUAUACAAAAAAAAAAAGAAAGGAUCAUCGUGUCCUAUUGUUUCUACUGUGCUUUAUGUUUGACAUUUCAUUUAUCUGUAGCAAUUAAACCCAUAUAAAUAAUAAGAUUGUAUCUUGUUCCUGAGAUACUGAAGGAGGUAUGCCUUAUAGAGGUAGCUUGUGGAUGCAUGACGAGUUGGUCGAUGGUGGAAAGCCCGGGGGUACAGUCAAGGCUUCGGAUAAAGAAAAAUCUGAUUUGGCAUGCGAGGGUGUCGUCUUCUUUACUGGAGAUCUAGCAUAGCAUUUAUCCAAGGUUUGAUAUCAUUUCUUUAGCAAUAUGUUAAAUCUAUAAAUACUAUCUUUCUUAUUAAAUGAUUUUAAAAUGUAUUAUUUUAGAUGUAGCUCUUUUAUAUUUUAAAUUAAUUCAAACUUUAGAGUGGGCUUACAUUUUGUGCUAUGCUGUUGCACUUGCUCAAAUGUCAUGCUCAAGAAACAGAUAUGAUGUCACUCGAGUAGUGUAAAAUGCUAUAAUCUUUUGUCACAAGAUGCAAUAGAUCUUCGGUUUAAACUUAAAUACUUUUUAAUGUUUUAUGUAGAAGUUACUUUUGAUGUUAAAUGGACCAAUUGGUUAAUGUAAUGUAUAAUAGUUUGAAAUUGAAUAUCUUCAUUUGUAUGAUAAUCGGCUAUGGACCAAAAUUCUUGUCUUUUUUUUAUGAUAUAAUGUUAAAUGUCUUUUAAUUGUAUCAGAAAUAGGAGUAGACGCCACAAUAUUAGUUGGCUGAUUGGGUAAUUAACUUAAAAAUUACUACAACAAUUGUCCUACAAUUGUCGUAUGUAACUUGUAUUUCCCUCAACUCCUAAGCAUGCAUCUUGCUAAUUUUAAGCCGGCAGUGCUUGCUCCGUUUGAGAUUGGAAGCGGGUUCUGGGCACAUUGAUUGCUCAAGUAUAAUCCUGAUGCAGAUAACCGCGAAGUGGGCUUGGUUCAGGUGUGAAUCGUGCGGUGAACAUUUGAGGCGUGGCCAGGUGAACAUUUGAUUUCUUAAUUUGUAGUUAGAAGCAAUAUAUAGGUGAUCAAACAGUUAGGAGAUGUUUCAAGAUCGGAGAAAAAGGCAGGGGAAAUUUUGUUUACGAUGGGAACCAAUUUUUGUUUCCAACUUGGCGGAUAAAGAAGAACGGUUGAACAGCCAUUAAGGGGCGAUAUGAGAUGAUACAUCUGUUGAUGAGGUGAGCCUGCUGGAGGCAACUUGACUACACCAUUAUUAAACCCAUCUCCUAAAAGCUAGUUUAUAUUUAGUUAACUUAGAUUCAACAGCCAUAUAUAUAUAAUGCUGACUGAUCAAGCUAGAGCCUUGGUAACAUCUCAAAUCUAGUUCUCCUUUUUACUAAAGUAUAAUGUUUUAAUGUCUUUCAAUUGUAUCAGGAAUAGGAGUAGACUCCACAACAUAAGUUGUCUUGCAAAUUGUAAUGUUAUUAUACUUCUAAAGGUGGAAUAGCGUUUGAUAUUCAGUCGGAAUAAAAGAAAACAAAAUAUAUCAAAGAUUUUUCGGUAACCCUUUUAAUGUCUAUAUAACAGCAUUGACCUUGAUAUCAUAUACGGAUGCAUCUUUUUUAAGCUCUCCUGCUUCAUGCUUCUUCUGGUUCAUCAGCCUUUCUUCUGCGUUGAACUUGGGAAUUUUUACCAUCAAGUAGUCUUCACCUUCGUGAGUAAGAAAGUAUGCCUGUAUAUCUGAUCUUAUUUUGAAUUUCAAAUAAUAAUCUUCUUCUGUUAACAGAAAUUGGCUUUGAUACAUGUGAUGUGUUGCUUUGAAUUCAUCAUACACUACCCCUCUUAUGUAAAAUUUGUUGCGGUCCACCGUCACCCUCAAGUUUUCAUGGGAAAUGACUCCCUUCAUCGGUACAACCAUGGUGAGACAGUGGUCCUCGUCCAGGGGGUCUAAUGGCAUAAUUACCGUUGCACCAAUACGAUAAGUCCUCAUCUCGGAAGGAAUAAUUAAUAUACGGAAGAUCGAUGGGAUGUUCGUGGAAGCAGAUGAUGAAGAAUGCUACGAGGAUGUUGUUGAUCGACAGAUCUCGGCCCCAGUUCAUUCGUUACUCCUCAGAGUUUAGAGCAUCGCAUUGUUAUAAUAAGUGCGUUGAACCCCAAAUCCCUUCCUCAUCUC